rnacentral:rRNA from 1 species
GGAAUAUUGCACAAUGGGGGAAACCCUGAUGCAGCGACGCCGCGUGAGUGAAGAAUUAUCUCGGUACGUAAAGCUCUAUAAGCAGGGAAGAAAAUGACGGUACCAGACUAAGAAGCUCCGGCUAACUACGUGCCAGCAGCCGCGGUAAUACGUAGGGGGCAAGCGUUAUCCGGAUUUACUGGGUGUAAAGGGCGCGUAGACGGCAGCGCAAGUCUGGAGGGAAAUGCCGGGGCCCAACCCCGGAACUGCUUUGGAAACUGUGCAGCUCGAGUGCAGGAGAGGUAAGCGGAAUUCCUAGUGUAGCGGUGAAAUGCGUAGGUAUUAGGAGGAACACCAGUGGCGAAGGCGGCUUACUGGACUGUAACUGACGUUGAGGCUCGAAAGCGUGGGGAGCAAACA